UUGCUCCGUGGAAAAAAACUAAUUUCAUUUGAGCGUGUAAUGUUUUGUUUGCGGCUAGGGAAAAAUAAAAAAAUCAAAUGGGCAAAAUUCAGGACGCUUCCUUUCGUUGUUUUCUGCUCUUUUAAGUAAAUAAUGUUUGAUCAUUGGCUGCUGUGCCGUGUAAUGGUGAAAUAUGAAACUAAUUGAAAACCGCUGCUUGUCAUUCAUCGUUAACGUUUCCAAUACGGAACAGCACUUGUCAUUCAUCUGUAACAUCAACCGAAUAUAAUACGAGCUGAAACAGGUGCAUACUUUCGGAAGUUCCUGAUAAUGGUUAUUUUAAAUCAACUCAAGUCCUAAAACGGAUGCCGGAAGAUAGCGAUAGCAACAGGGCCGCCAUUAUUAUAGUUAAACCACGAACUCCACUACUCCUCAUCAACAGCAACAUGAUCGGCAAGUGGCUUUGAAAACCCAACAUCAGAAUUAAAUGAAAUCUAAAAUAAAAUUAAAAUCAAAUUGAAAUUGAGUUAAAUUAAG